UGCUUCGUGGGGACAAUUUGCGUGUAACCUAAGUAUGAAUUCUGGGAUUUGGCUUGCUACCAAAAGACAGCACAAGGUAGAAAAAAUCUGUUCGUUACCUGGCUGGGAAGUUUAUGGUCAGACAGAGCAGUGUUUCAGUGAAUGAAAGGAGGCUUCCUGUACAGGCCUGAGAAAAACCGAUAGUAUUGGAAAAACAGAGAGAACAGAAGCACUUAGGCUUUGCUUUUGGCAGCAUUGGCAAUGGUUAUGGUGCUAUUGUGGCUGACUGAAAGCAGGUAUUGCCCAGUAGGAGAGAUACAGACUGCAUGGAUCCGUCCUCUGGGAUCUCCCUUUUCAAACAGGAGCUUGCUAAAUGGCAUCUUGGAACCGCACACCAUUGGGCCCGGCUUGUCUUCAAUCUCUUUGACAGAAGCUGAAAAAACCCUAUUUUUAACAGCAAGUGGGCAUUACUAAGAUUGCUGCACAGCACAGAUCCAAAGCAAACAGUCGCUAAACAGGCACAUGAUGGGAAAUGACUUGGGAUGGAAACUAUGUGAAACCAGUGUGUGUUUCAAACUAUAUAGGACAUGACUGCUUUGUAGGAGGUCUGCCUUGGACUGAGGUUUGUACAACUCCAGGACUCCAGGUAAGUAGUGUGAGAAUGGAAAGAGGCAUUCUUCAUUGCUCUUGCAUGAGGCUCUUGCAGGCUGGGAGGCAGGUGAUUGCUGAACGAGGUAUCUUUUAGAUGUGCAAAAAUGUCUCAAUGGAUUGGUAACCUGGUACGUGUUUAAGGAGUUGAUAGAAAGGACAUUGCACUGACCUGCGCUGGAAGUGGCUUGAUUCUGCAGCCAGUAAGAUGUUAUUUGGAUGCCAGUCUCGACUAAGUAUAGUGGAUUUGACUGACUUCUUGACGUGCUUACUUCGCCAUUUGUGGUUAGAGUCAAGGACAGAGGUAGAAGGACUCUGUGCAAUGCUGUGUUUGUGCAUGCUGCUUUGCAAUGAAGCUGUUUUAUGGCUAUUGCCAUAGGGAGCCCUUCCCAGACUGCUUGCAUUCCAGCUGCUAGGGAAGUCAGGACCUUUUCACAAAAGUAUUUACCAUCCACUGGAAAACAAACCCUGAUGCUGUAUUUUAUUUGUUCCAGGAAAAAAUAUGUGAAUAAUGGCUGCAUGCUAUCUGGUGUCCUAUUAAAACUGGCUUGCGUCAAUGCAAUCUUGUAAGAGAAUCACAUUUCCAGAUGUUCAAGCAGCAUAGGCACUGUUGGGGCAGCUCAGGGGUUGAAACAGGUUCAUGCAUUUUAGGUCAGCAUGUUCUUAGAACAAAACGAUAAAGCCACAUGCACGGAUCACAGAGGGCAACGUCUUCUGUUCAUUUGGUCCAUCUUCCUGUCUUUGUUCCCUACAAUGUCUUUUCUUUUCCAGUGCCUUUCUAGUCUGUCCUGUCUACCUGCCAUCUUACGGCACUAUGUUAACCAGGGCUCAAACCUGCAGUUGGUUAUACUGCAUGUAUACGUAUUUUUACCCAGAAACAAUGAGAGGCAUUGCAGUCCUGCACAGCCCUGCUCUGUAGGUCAGGAAAAUAUUGUUGGGAUUGUACUAGCUGAUAUACGAGCCAUCUUUUGGGAUCACUUCACUUGAUGAGUGCAGCCAUAUCAGGGGCUUAGAAACAAUAUUCAUCAUCUUAGGGCAGAGGAAGGGAAGAAGAUUGCAGGAAAAACACCAGACAGGCAGCAUGUGAUUACUCCAGUUGGAGUUCAGCUAGUUUGCAGUGACUUUUUCAUAGUGUCACGGCCCCUUUAGCUGCAUGAACCUUUGAGAGUUUGGUUAUGCAUCUCACAGAGAACAUGGUGCCGGAGCCAGCACUGCACUCCCUAGGGUUAUGUUGAAUCGAUGGCUUUGUAUUUGCUCAGAGUGGAAAAACAACUAGCGUUACUUCUCGCUGUAUGCCUUUGUCUGAAAUCUCCCAUCUCAGAAUUGUGCUGUCCCACGGCAGAUAUACAGCAGAGCCUGCAGAUACACACGACUCCCUUGAUUGGGCUCCUAACCUAAUGGGCUAAUAUUGACCGGGCCUUGCUCGUGGUUGCUCUGGCUUGGGCUUACCAGUCAUUUUCUUUCCCAAAGAAGCAUACGGAAAUGAUUUUAGAUCUGUUACCCAAAGCAAGCUUGUUCUCCUGUGGGAACCAUUCCACAUAGCUGGCAACAUGGUUGAUGCCAAGCAGGACCAAAGUUGGCUUGCAGCCCCGCUCUCUCAGGGACCCAACAUAAGCAUUUUGGUCCAUAGUGGAGGUCAAGUCAUUGCUCGAGUUGGGAGCCCAGUUUAUGCCUGCAACGUCACAUGCCUGUUUAUAAUGUUGCUUAUUCAUAUUGUAGUUUGGUUACUCAAAGAGUACCUCUUUUCCAUGACACGUCAAUGGACCAAUCUAUGGAAAUGGAUGUGCAAAGGGUUGUUGUAAUACUUUGCCUUCCAUCAAACGUCUUUGAGUGUUUUGUGACCGUUAAUUAAAGAAUCAUUCUGCAUCUCUCUUGAAGAUGAGUAAACUGAGGCAUGAGCCGAAUCGUUGCCAGUUCAUCUCUUCCUGUAAAUUAGGUUUUGUAACACAGUAUGCAAGAGACAUGGUUAUUUGCUGUUUUAAGAUGGGUGAAUAUGGCUUUUUCAAUACUUUAAAAUCAAUGGAAUUAAAUGAAAAACUAUUGAAAGAUAAAACCAGAAACCUACUUGUGCCCCUGCCACUGCGUGUUGCGAGCUCGUGGCUUUUCUCGAUUAUCUGGUAGAUGUGGACUGGGUGGGUGUUAGACCUGAUAACAGUUUCUGCUAGGAAACAGUUGUGUUAUUGGGGCCAUAAAUUGCUUGCACUGUCCGCACACAUCUUCAUCCAGACAAAAUGAGAAGUGAUGCAUGUUGGGGCAUGUUGGAUCCAUUGGCCAUGUUUCUUCCUUGAAGCUGAAGGUGGUUAAGGACUACCAUGUAGAAAACUCUGUCAUCUUGGCCACCGCUGGUCAUGUAUUAGGGCCACUCCACUUCAUGGGCUCUCGUAUCAAACACUCUUGCUGCUUGUAAGUACAAUUCUUUAUUGCAUGCACCGUCAGACUAUAUCCAAUCCUACCUCCUCUUCAAAAUAUCUCUGAGGUCUGCCCUUUUCUCUUUCCUGAGCAUCCAGAGCAGGGAAAACCUCCUUUUCCAUGUCCUUAUCCCCUGGUCUUCCCAAACCCACAUCACUGUUCCACCUCCAUUCCUUGCAAAAUACUGCAGUUUGAAGAAAUAAUGUUCCUGGCCUGGUGAUAUCUAGGCAGUGGACAUCUCUCUUGGCUUUAUAGAGAAGCACCUUAGUAAGUAAAGCUGCAAAAGUUGGAACUUAAGCAUUGUGGAAAUCUGGCUGCAUUCCUAGUAGUAGCUGUUUCCUGCCAUAAACACCUCCUGUUAAAGCCUGGCUGCCAUUCCAUAUAUACCAAGGAAAAGACCAGCUGCUACAGAUGUGCUUCCUAACCCUCUCAUAUGCCUUCAUGGAGUGACUCCUGUCCUUUGUUCACCAUCCUGACCCUGUUGGUUUUGUCCCCUUCCUUUUUAGUAAGUCAUAUCUGUAUUGAAAUGUCUGUUAUGGGGGCCAGAAAAAUACUCUUAGCUAUACCAAGAGAUCCCCCAACUGCUAAGUCCUGUAAAAUAAUACUGGCUUUGGGAAGCAUUGAGUGUCCUGACUGCACGCAGCAUUUUAUAAGGCUUUCCUGAAAGGCUUAUGUUAACUAAUGCUAUUACAAUCAUUUUUAUGCCACUGUAAAUGUGCCAGCACUGGACAGUAAUAGAGGGUGUGAAGAGAUCACCGGGAGGAAAGUGAAGCAGGAAGGGGUGUGAGGAAGCAGAGAGGAGAGGAGAAGUGCCAGGCCCUGGGGGAGUCUUGGGUGAACCCGGCACAGGUCACAGCAGAAAGGACAAAGCCAGCGGUAGGAAACGAAGAUCAAAGGCUCAGCAAGAGAAGAGACCUGGUGGCACCGGGGUGCGGAAGGGAUGAAGAGGCAGAAAAGGACACGGGCAGAGAUGAAAACAGAGGAGUUUGAUUUUACUGUGUUUAAAAACCCAACAAGACAUUAAGGGAUUCAGAUGGGGAAUGGGUAGAGGAUUCCCAGCAGUGUAAGGAAAGGAAUCUGGAAGUGUAUCCAGUACAUGUCUGGAGCCAAGCACGAAACCCUUGGGCAUGAAGACUUCAGAGUCCAGACCCCCAAUUUUGGUAUCUUGGUGCUCAGUCUGCCCUCCUUGCCAGGGGUGUUUGCCGGUGCUUUCCUCUGUGAGCUCGCCUUUUCCAAAUGGAGGAGACCAGCAGCCCCAUUGCGAGGUGUGUCCCCUGCCCUGCCCAUUGCAGGAUGCACCCCCUUCCUAUCCGCUACCCAUGUCUGCCCCAUGAGGAUCUGGCCCAUCUUCCCAGUCGCUUCCACUGAGCAGCAGGCGGGUGUUUGAGAGCAGUUUCAUAGGGCUGUGAGGGGAAUAUGAGAGCAUCAGAUGGGAAGUGUUAGCUAUGUUGAUGUGCAAUUAGAUCCGUGGCUGUUAGUCUUUCCCUCAUUUCAGUGUUGUGAGAGCAUGAGAAAAAUCCAGCUCGUGUACAGAGCUAACUCCAGCCUCGGGGUAACCUGGCUGAUGUUGGUGGAGUUGCCUGAGGGUUGAAUUUGGCUGCCCCCCCUGCCUGGCAGUCUCUCUUCAGCCACAAAAGGCCAUUAGACUGCUAGGAAAUUCCACCCCUGGAGCAGUAUUCCUCGGAAAAAAGACUAGAACAAUUAGUGCUUGGAAAUCCACAAGUCUUUACUAGCAGUGUGCAGCACGUGAUGAUUCAUGGCCCCUGGGAAUUGAUGUGAUCUCCUCCAGGAUGAGAUUCUGUCCUGGUAUUUCCCAAUGUGGGGAAAGCAGGAUCUGCAGCCCGGCUGAUACUCGAACUGAGGCAUCUGCACUAAUGCACGUUUGUUCCCAGCGUGGGUCCUGUAAGGCUGCCCCAUGUCUCUGUCCAAAAUCCACAUCGUACAGCUGUGCUGUAGAUGCCCUGCCAGGAGGUGAAAUGGAGCUAGCUAAGCCAUUUGCCAGGGUCCGUGUUCAAUGUAAGUGUGCUGCUCUGGCAAAGCUGCAGCAAAGGUGGUCCCGUAACACCUGCGCAACACUAUUACCUCCCCACUACUACAUGGCACUUGACUGGUGUCUGCAGAGCUAUUGGGCUUGCGUCGGCAGGAAAUCUGGGCCGCUCUCCCAUCCUGCCCCGCUGCAGAAGCUCCAGGCAAAGGGUGGGUUAGGAAGGAGAUAGGAUAACACCAUUUGAACCCCAAGGUAUAGGCUCAGCGCUGACCGUGUAUCCAGGUGGUUCAUUAAUAAUGUUUCGUAUUUAGCAAUAAAGCUGAGGCACCGUCGGUUUGGGUUGUAGUGUAGGCUGGCCCUAUAGGAGUUGUUUCUUAGAGAUGACUGGAGGGACAGAUUUACUGGGCCCCAACACAGCCACAUUUAUGAGUGUGCAUUUAGGAGUGCGGAAGAGAAGUGGUCACAGAAAAGCCUCUGCUGACUUGUGAUUAAGAAGCAGCUGCACCAAGAACACGCAACUAGGAGGAGCUCGGUUUCACUUUGGGAAGACUCUGUGAAAAACCACACAGCUUCCCAUGCCUAGUGCUGCAUGUAGUGACAUAGCACCUGAUACCGUCUACGUCCGCAGCGGCGUGGAGCCAUUAGCACCAUUUCUGUAGAAUAAAGCCGCCAUUUCCCUGAUCAGAGAAUGCGGCAGGACAAGUUUUACUUAUAGGCUCGAUCUUUGUUCCAGGCAUAGCAGGAUAUGGGAUCUGCCCCAAAGCUAUGCAAGGACGUGUCCUAAUGCACAGGGCUGGAAGGUGGCAACUGCUGAAAGCCAGUGAAAUAGCACCAAAAUGCCAUUUUAGAAAGAACCAUUUGCAGCGCAGGGAAACUUGUAGGAGUUAAAUGAGAAAAAAAAAGACCCAUGAGAGUCCACGGUGUGUGCAUAUUUGAUCCACCGCUUGUAAUCUACUCCACGCUGUGUGCAUAUUUGAUCCAUUGCUUGUAAUCUACUCCAUGGUGUGUACAUAUUUGAUCCACCGCUUGUAAUCUACUCCACGGUGUGUGCAUAUUUGAUCCACUGCUUGUAAUCUAUUCUAAUGGCACCAACCUUAAUGACACCUCUGAACUAAUGAACUUGAACUCUGAAGAUCAAACUU